ensembl:snRNA U6 U6 spliceosomal RNA
GUGCUCUCUUUGGCAGCUCAUAUACUAAAAUUGGAGCCAUACAGGGAUUAGCAUGGCCCUUGCACAAGGAUGACACACAAAUUCGUGAAGUGUUCCAUAUUUUG